UUGAAACAGAGUCUUGCUCUGUAGCCCAGGCUGGAGUCCAGUGGUGUGAGCAUGCCACGAUGCCUGGGGAUAAUAUUUUUUUUUAAUUUUGUGGACAGGAAUCUUGCUAUGCUCCUCAGGCUACUCUCAAUCUCAGUGCCUCAAGCAUUCCUCCUGCGAUGGCCUCCCCAAGUACUAGGAUUACAAGCAUGAGCCAUCUUGUCUGGCCCUCCAAUCACUUUUGAUUGCAGAAACUUCACUGGCAUUUAGAGUUAUACAUAAUCACAGAUAUAUGCAUGUGUACAUAUGCGCAUGGAUGUUCUUUACAGCACUGUUUGUAAUAUUGGGAAAAAGUGGAAAUAAUCUAUAUUGCCAUCGUUAAUAAAAAGGUUAAGAAAUCAUAUGAUUCUAUGGUAUAAACUACUAUGGAGCUUUUCUUCCUUACAUGAAAUAGUAUUCUAUGUACACAAUGAAAUUAUCUUUAAGACAUUUUGAAAAGUAUAAUGAAGCUAGCUGAAUAACAUGCAUAGUGUAGGAUUUCAUUUAUGUAAAAUGGCACACAACAUGCACCUGUGUGUAUGCACAUGUGUAUUUGAACAUAUAGAAACAUCUGUAGAAGUAAAUCUACCCCAUUUGAUAAUGAUUAUCUGAAAGAAAAGAGUGAGAUUAAAGGCAAUAAGGUAGAAGUGAGGAGACUUUUACUAUUCUACGGAUUCUUUUGAAAUUUUUUAAACUUCAAACAUUACUACAUUUAAUUUAAUUAUUAAAGGACAAUUUAAAAGUGAGAGCUAAAUACAGUAACUACCGUUAUUGGCAUUCAAAGAUAUGUUUUAAUAAAAGAUGAAACAAAUGUUUUGAACAAUGGGUAGAGCAGGUAAGAUCAAUCUCUCUGUAACAAAUACAAGCGUUUAUCGUUUUGUUGGAGUCAGAGCCAAAUCUCAAAUCUGACAUUUUAGUUAUUUCUUUAAUUUGAAUGUCUUGACUGCAGUAAAAGCUGCCUAGUUGUUUCUAGGAGGGAUGAGGAAAACUCAGAGACACUCCCUUUCCAUGUGCCUUAGAGCCCGGAGCCACAGGGAGGACACCCCCGGGCAGCUAGGGGUUUGAGAGCUUUUGUGUGCAGCUGCAAGAACUUAUGCCCACAAUUUCACUGUGUUCAGUCUGAAAGAACAGAGAGAGUCAUCAAAUCGCCUGAAUAGAGGGAACAUUUUCUAUUGAACCAUCUACUGGGCUAAAUUAAUUGAGCAAUGGAACAUGACAGUUCAAUAGGUGAGAUUAUCAAAAGAAAACUGCCCCCCUAGGGCAGGAGCCUCAGAUGGGUGCCUGAGCUUUUCCGAGAAAAGUGAUUGCUUCAUGAUAAAAAUAUAAUUGCCCCCUAUUGUUACAUUGCCCUUUAAUGAAUCCCAUCCAGCACCUAAAUAUGACAAAUAGGAAGGGAUAGUGUGCAAGAGGGUUGACAGUUACAUCUGAUGUUAAACCAUAUCAGGCUACGUGGCUUUGAAAAGUUGCCGGCCUUUGUCUUGUUAAAUCAAAGAAUCUUGUCUUGGGUGCUUCAGCUGGACUUUCAAUGUAAAACUUGAAAAAUGUUACAUCUUAUUUUAAAUGACCCAAAUAAGUUAAUCUCAGAAAAAAAAAAGGCUUUUUUUUUGUGAGAAAAACAUAAAAUAAUAAGUGAAAGGAGCUUUGUAAUUUAUUUAAUUAUUCCUUUAUUAGUUGGCCAAAAAAAUGUGAGUGAAGGAUUAGUUAUAAUGACAGCAUCCAUCAUUUAAGGGAAUCAAUGUUCUUAUUUGGUGCACAAAAUAUCUUAAUGUUCAAUGUUUAAACAGCUUAACUCUAAUUAGCUAGGAUGCUUCCAGCUAGAAGGAAUUGAACACUUAGCUCAAACUGGCUUAAACAACAAUGGCAUUUAUUUGUUCACAUGUCUGAAAGUCCAGGGGUAGGGCAAGCUUCAGGAUUGAUUUAAUCUUAUGUUUCCAGUGCUGUUUCAUUGUGAUUCUCUAGACCAACACCAUCCAAUAGAUCUUUCUCUAAUAAUAGAAAUGUUCUUUUUCAACACUAUCCAAUGUUAACCAUUAGCCACAUGUGGCACUGGAAAAGUGCAAGUGACUUUUAGAAACUAAUUUUUUAUAUUAUUUAAUUCUCAGUAAGUUAAGUUUAAAUUUAAUAACCACUUAGGGCUAGUACCUUCUGUAUUAGACAGUGCAACACUACACUGUUUCCCCCUUACAUACUGUGUGACAGCAUCACUCACAGGUUUAUAAUGUGUUGGCAGCAACCAAUCAAACAUGAAAUCAUUCAGAUCAAAACAAAAAAUAGCUAUGAAAGUUCACCCAGAAGAGCAAAUUCCUUCUUUUCACACUGCAUUGGCCAAAACUAGAUCAUAAGCCUAUUUCUGAACUGAUUACUUGCAAAAAGAUGAUAUAAUCAUUAGUCCUCUUGUGCCCAUUCCUGUAAUAGGAGGGGAGUUGGCUUCCUCUGGGAGGAAGGGCUGUGGGCUUCCUCUGGGGCCCAUAGGCAGGGUGAGAUGGAUGACAAAUAUUAGUGUUUGCAUGGGAGGAAGAAAAGGAUGCAGUGAGUGCAACUAACUACAUCCCUCCUUGCUCUUUAAAUUGCAGUUCGUACCAACUAGUCAAAAGUGAGCCAAAUAUCUGCACUUUGGUUCCUGCCACUACCUCAUAUCUAAUAUCCUCACUCUGCCAGUCUGCCAAAAAUUACUGGGAAAAACUUCUCCUUAUGAGAUUUCUGCUCAUAUCCUCAGUAGGGUUGCUAAAAGUGACCACAAUCUGCCCCUUUCCUAUCCCUCUAUGGAUCAACUAUAUUCCCUGACAUUCAAAAACCACUAAACUUUCACUUGAGUCUCAUAAAGCUCCUGCUCUUCUGUUUUGAUGUAGCCAUACUUAGAUUAUUGCAGUUUUCUACCAUGCUCCCUCUCAGUUAACAUAUUUCAAAUUUAUUAUAUUUCUUUAUAUGAAACUCCUUGCCACCAUCGUCACAAGACAUUUUCUCUUCCAAGAAAGCUUCCUAGACCCAUCCAAGUCUUAAGUUCGGCAUUCUGUUUUGUGCUUCUAUAGUGUUCCAAUCUUUCACUAUCUUAGCCCUUCUCAGACUCUUGUUUCCUUUAUUUGUUCGUGUUCGUCUUCCAUUGAACUGAAAGGUCUACAAUGUCAGGGAUUUGCUCUUAUUCACUUAAAUAUUGUUAAUGUAUAUCACACGUAUGUAGCAGGCAAUCAAUAGCUUUCUGACUUUAUAAAUGAUACAUGCUGAAUAGAUGAAUUGGUUAAUAAGUGAAUAGGGUUGCCAGUCUAUAUCUAAUAUAUCACAUCAUAUAAUACAUAUAUUUGUAACCCUAAAAAUUCCUACAUAUAUUUAUGACACAUAUAAAAUGCUUCAACUAGUAAUAUUUUCAUAGUCAAGUUCUUAACAUAUAUUAUUUUCUAAAUUAAAGAUGUGCUGCUAACUUAGUUCCCAGAUUUUGAUUCACCAACAUUGGCAAGACUCUCCUGAUUCAGAAACUUCAUAGUUGAUCUUUUGGGAAUCUACAGAAUUUCAUUUUCAGCAUCUGUAUGCAACGCAGUAUAAGUCUUUAUUUCCAAAUAGAUCAUCUCAUUUAAAAGGCUGGAAGUCCUUUGGGAAGUAGAUAAACCAUUGGAGCAGACCCAUCUUGCUGUUGUGUUUUCAAAACUUCUGUUCAUCUCCUACAAGCAGCUCAGUCCUCAGGGCAAGCCUCCUCCAAUCCUUGGCCUCGAAGAAGACAA
rnacentral:lncRNA from 1 species